GAUGAACGCUGGCGGCGUGCCUAAUACAUGCAAGUCGAGCGAACAGAUGAGGAGCUUGCACCUCUGACGUUAGCGGCGGACGGGUGAGUAACACGUGGAUAACCUACCUAUAAGACUGGGAUAACUUCGGGAAACCGGAGCUAAUACCGGAUAAUAUAUUGAACCGCAUGGUUCAAUAGUGAAAGACGGUUUUGCUGUCACUUAUAGAUGGAUCCGCGCCGCAUUAGCUAGUUGGUAAGGUAACGGCUUACCAAGGCAACGAUGCGUAGCCGACCUGAGAGGGUGAUAGGCCACACUGGAACUGAGACACGGUCCAGACUCCUACGGGAGGCGGCAGUAGGGAAUCUUCCGCAAUGGGCGAAAGCCUGACGGAGCAACGCCGCGUGAGUGAUGAAGGUCUUCGGAUCGUAAAACUCUGUUAUUAGGGAAGAACAAAUGUGUAAGUAACUAUGCACGUCUUGACGGUACCUAAUCAGAAAGCCACGGCUAACUACGUG
rnacentral:rRNA from 1 species